rnacentral:rRNA from 1 species
UACGUAGGGACCAAGCGUUGUUCGGAUUUACUGGGCGUAAAGGGCGCGUAGGCGGCAAUUCAAGUCAUCUGUGAAAUCUCCGGGCUUAACCCGGAACGGUCAGAUGAUACUGCUUUGCUAGAGUGCGGAAGGGGCAAUCGGAAUUCUUGGUGUAGCGGUGAAAUGCGUAGAGAUCGGAAAGAACACCAACGGCGAAAGCACUCUGCUGGGCCGACACUGACACUGAGAGACGAAAGCUAGGGGAGCGAAUGGG